GACGAACGCUGGCGGCGUGCUUAACACAUGCAAGUCGAACGAUGACGACCGAGCUUGCUCGGUCUGAUUAGUGGCGAACGGGUGAGUAACACGUGAGCAACCUGCCCUUCACUCUGGGAUAACCUCGGGAAAUCGGGGCUAAUACCGGAUAUGAGCUCCUGUCGCAUGGCGGGUGUUGGAAAGUUUUUCGGUGAAGGAUGGGCUCGCGGCCUAUCAGUUUGUUGGUGAGGUAGUGGCUCACCAAGGCGAUGACGGGUAGCCGGCCUGAGAGGGCGACCGGCCACACUGGGACUGAGACACGGCCCAGACUCCUACGGGAGGCAGCAGUGGGGAAUAUUGCACAAUGGGCGAAAGCCUGAUGCAGCGACGCCGCGUGAGGGAUGACGGCCUUCGGGUUGUAAACCUGUUUCAGCAGGGAAGAAGCGAAAGUGACGGUACCUGCAGAAGAAGCGCCGGCUAACUACGUGC
rnacentral:rRNA from 1 species